rnacentral:rRNA from 1 species
UUUAACUGAGCGUUCAGUUACUUGACGUAGACCCGAAACCGGGCGACCUACCCAUGAGCAGGAUGAAGCGAAAGUAAAAUUUCGUGGAGGUCCGAACCCACGAGCGUUGAAAAGCUCGGGGAUGACUUGUGGGUAGCGGUGAAAUUCCAAUCGAGCCCGGAGAUAGCUGGUUCUCCCCGAAAUAGCUUUAGGGCUAGCCUCAAGGUGAGAGAUACGGAGGUAGAGCACUGAAUGUCCUAGGGGGUAUUGCACCUACCGAAGACUAUCAAACUCCGAAUGCCGUCAUCUUAUACUUGGGAGUCAGACUGUGGGUGAUAAGAUUCAUAGUCGAAAGGGCAACAGCCCAGAUCGUCAGCUAAGGUCCCUAAAUGUAAGUUAAGUGGUAAAGGAUGUGGGAUUGCACAGACAACCAGGAUGUUGGCUUAGAAGCAGCCACUCAUUCAAAGAGUGCGUAAUAGCUCACUGGUCGAGUGAUCCUGCGCCGAAGAUUUCCGGGGCUAAAACUUACUACCGAAGCUACGGCAUCAGUAAUGAUGGGUAGGGGAGCUUCCCAUA